UUGGGGGCUGGAAUGAAUGAGGCGACGAAAUCUAGGCUAUCUAAGUUUUAAAUUAAAUUGACAAAGAGGUCAAAAGGCCUGUGUGGACCAAGGGGACGAUAAGACCCUAUAAAACUUUACUUUUAGUGUGGGGUCUGACGGGGUGUUUUUACAUUUAAAAGUUUUACUGGGGCGGUAGUUAUAAAAACAAUUAGAUAUAAAAUAUAUUAAAUAGUGUAAAAGAACUCUUUUGAGAAAUAGAACAAGUUACUUUAGGGAUAACAGCGUAAUCCCCCCAGAGAGUCCUAAUUGGCGGGGGGGCUUACGACCUCGAUGUUGAAUUGGGGUCUCUUGUAUAAGCAGGCAUAUAUGUAGUGUUCUGUGC
rnacentral:rRNA from 1 species